UACGUAGGGGGCGAGCGUUGUCCGGAAUGACUGGGCGUAAAGGGCGCGUAGACGGUUGUCUAAGUCUGGAGUGAAAGUCCUGCUUUCAAGGUGGGAAUUGCUUUGGAGACUGAAUGACUUGAGUGCGGAAGAGGUAAGUGGAAUUCCCAGUGUAGCGGUGAAAUGCGUAGAGAUUGGGAGGAACACCAGUGGCGAAGGCGACUUACUGGGCCGUAACUGACGUUGAUGCGCGAAAGCGUGGGGAGCGAACAGG
rnacentral:rRNA from 1 species